ensembl:lncRNA
AUUGAUGACAUGGCAGUAAUGGCAGGUAGAAUCUAUUGAUGACAUGGCAGUAAUGGCGGGUAGAAUCUAUUGAUGACAUGGCAGUAAUGGCAGGUAGAAUCUAUUGAUGACAUGGCAGUAAUGGCGGGUAGAAUCUAUUGAUGACAUGGCAGUAAUGGCAGGUAGAAUCUAUUGAUGACAUGGCAGUAAUGGCGGGUAGAAUCUAUUGAUGGCAGGUAGAAUCUAUUGAUGGCAGGUAGAAUCUAUUGAUGACAUGGCAGUAAUGGCAGGUAGAAUCUAUUGAUUACAUGGCAGUAAUGGCAGGUAGAAUCUAUUGAUUACAUGGCAGUAAUGGCAGGUAGAAUCUAUUGAUGACAUGGCAGUAAUGGCAG